AUCCAGAGCCAGCUCUGUCAGUGCUGCCCAGCCCCCCACUCAUUCUCCACCACCAAGUGGCUGCCUGGGAACAGGCACCAUUCCAUGCCCUGGAGAUCCGAGACCUGCACAUCCACACAUCAGCGUGGCCUGUACCAGACGCUACGGAGCAUGGUGGGUAGGAGAGGAAUCUGCAAAGGGCCUUGUUUGGUGCAGCAAGUGCUGUGCUUUGGGUGCGUCCCUGGAAUUUCAUUCUCAAAGUCAUUAUGUUGGUGGUAUUUGGAGGGGAAGCAUUAGAAGUUAAUUAGGAUUAGGUGAGGCCAUGAGGGAAGGGUCAGCUUUAUAAGAAGAGGAAGAUCACCAAGUAAUGCCCUCCACCACCUCUGGAGGCUACAGAGUCUCCACCGACAAGAAAGACAUCACCAGAGGUGGGUGCCCGAUCUUAAAAGUCCCAGCCUUCAGAGUCACGAGCCCAACCUAACUGUCUUGUUUAUAAAUUAUGUAGCCUGGGGUAUCCUGUUAGAGCAACAGAAAACAGACUCAGAAAGGAGUAGCAGGGUGGCUUCUGAAGAGAUCAAGAAAAUGAGAGGGGAAAAAAAAGGCAAGCCAUGUGGGAAUCCGGGAGAUAGAGCUCACCAGAAGCUCGAGUCCCCGAACCCUGAGUCCCUGAGGUGGAGCAUGCUGGGCUAUGUGACAGCAGCCCGGGGACCAGCAGGGGUGGAGAAGGUUAGCAAGGCAGGUGGAGAAGCAGCAGUCAGGAAGGCAGCAUGGGCCUGGGUGGCAACAAGGGCUUUGGCUCCACUAUGGCGGACAGGAAGAGUCCAACUGGCCCUAAGCAGCUGAGAAUCCCAUCAGAUUCUCAGGGGGCAGGGACACUGGGGCAGUGUUCUCCCGCUGCAGGGUGAGGAGGAGGCUGCUGAGGGGCUGGGGUGGAACUGGUGGGGCAGCUAAGUAAGUAACUCAUAUACCUCCUUGCUUGGCAAGGCUGGUAGGUGUGGGUUAAAUUUUAGAUGCAAUUUGAAGGCUGAGCUGUAGGAUUUGCUAAAGGAUUGGAUGUAAGGCAGUAGAAGAAAGAAGUUAAGAAUGUCUCAGAAAGGAGAAAAAUUAAAGUAAAAAGAAAAGCAAAAAAGACUAAUGUUUUAAUGCCAGCAAUGAGAAGCAGAAAUGUGCCAUUUUACUGAAUGGCCACAAAUGGAGCUGGUGUAGGAGCGAAGCAGGUUGGAGAGUGAGGGGUGGCUGGGACUGACUGAAGACAUCAAGUUUGCAAAGCCUGCUGGGUAUCCAAGGCGUGACGGGGAGUAGGCAGUAGCGAGCAGGGGAGGCGCUGGGGCUGCAGAUCUACAAGUGAAGGAUGCCAGUCUCCAGAAGCCAGCUGGGAGACCACACACUGUCACUGAGAAACAAGUGCAGAAAGACAGGAGAAGCUGGAGCACCGGCUGAGGAGCAACCCCAGGCGGUGAGAAAGGACACUGAUCACCAGCAGGACACUGAUCGCCAACUCACUGAGGUCCGAGAAGGUGAAAUUCUACCUGAGGAAGCAGCUUUGGGCCAAAAGCCUCUCCUGUCCUCUCUUCAUGGUACCACUGGGGCAAGGGGCUUCUUCCUAUUUGUCCAUUUGUGAGCACUACCAUGCAGAAGCCAGGCCACUGGCUAUGGAGCCAGCCAGAUCUUGGUGUAAAAAUCAACUUCUCUGAGGUUUUUUCAUUGCAAAAUGGAAAUGUCCAGUCUUAAAUGGGACCAGUAAGAAGAUGAAACACAAGGACAGAAAUAAAGUGGGAUGCUCGGCCAGGCUGCGUGUUCUCUGAUGUGUGGGUGACAAACACAAGGGUAGACACGCGUGGCACCUUCGCGGGAGCCUGUGUCAUAGAUGGGGGUGCACCUUAUGGACACUUUUAUAGCCUGGAUCUGGGAUGCUCCCCAAACUCACGUGCUGAAGGCCUAAGUGGGUGGACGCUAUUGGGAGGUGGUGGGGACUUUAGGCGGUGGAGCCUAGUUUGAGAACUGGGUUGCUUCUCUCUCUCCCUUUCUGCUUCCUGGCCAUCAUGAGCCUUUGCUCUGCCACCAUGAUUGCCUUACUGUAGAUUCAAAAUC
rnacentral:lncRNA from 1 species